rnacentral:rRNA from 1 species
GAUCCUGGCUCAGGAUGAACGCUAGCUACAGGCUUAACACAUGCAAGUCGAGGGGCAGCAUGGUCUUAGCUUGCUAAGGCCGAUGGCGACCGGCGCACGGGUGAGUAACGCGUAUCCAACCUGCCUUACACUCUUGGACAGCCUUCUGAAAGGGAGAUUAAUACAAGAUGUUAUCAUGAGUAAGCAUUUUCGCAUGAUUAAAGUUACGUGUAGA